rfam:Stegodyphus mimosarum contig37266, whole genome shotgun sequence.
GCCUUCGUGGUGUAGUGGUCAGCACGCUCGGCGCGUGUUCGACAGGUCUGUGGUUCGAGUCCCGGAGAGGGCA